rnacentral:rRNA from 1 species
UACGUAGGGUGCAAGCGUUAAUCGGAAUUACUGGGCGUAAAGCGUGCGCAGGCGGUUCCGCAAGUCAGGAUGUGAAAAUCCCCGGGCUCAACCUGGGAACUGCAUUUGAAACUACGGGGCUAGAGUGUGUCAGAGGGGGGUGGGAAUUCCACGUGUAGCAGUGAAAUGCGUAGAGAUGUGGAGGAACAGCCAAUGGCGAAGGCAGCCCCUGGGAUGACACUGACGCUCAUGCACGAAAGCGUGGGGAGCAAACAGG